GAGGGGGCCGGGUGGCCUGCGAGUAGAGAUGGAUGAGCUGGAGUUUGCUCCAUGAUUCCGCGGGGGACGGGUGAGUAAUGCCUAGGAAUCUGCCUGGUGUGGGGGACAACGUUUCGAAAGGAACGCUAAUACCGCAUACGUCCUACGGGAGAAAGCAGGGGACCUUCGGGCCUUGCCCUCUCACAUGAGCCUAGGUCAGAUUAGCUAGUUGGAGGGGUAAUGGCUCACCAAGGCGACCAUCCGUAACUGGGCUGACACGAUGAUCAGUCACACUGGAACUGAGACACGGUCCAGACUCCUACGGGAGGCUGACUGGACGAAUAUCCCCACCUGCCUCCAAAGCCUGACCCAGCCAUGCCUUAGUGUCCCACCUUCUUC
rnacentral:rRNA from 1 species